GGAAAGGUGACCGAGUGGCCGAAGGUGCUCGCCUGCUAAGCGAGUGAAGGGACAAAAUCUCUUCCGAGGGUUCGAAUCCCUCCCUUUCCGCCA
rnacentral:tRNA from 1 species